rnacentral:misc_RNA from 1 species
UUUCCGUAGGUGAACCUGCGGAAGGAUCAUUUGAGUUUCUAUUCUCAGAAUAGACGAUUCAAUAAUCAAAGUCAACCGUGUGAAAGUGUCAUAACCCCAUACAAAAACAAUGGGCGAGAAUCAUCGCUGUUUUGCGGCAAAUGUAAUCUAUUUGUCGCAGCAGCACAUCUCGCUCAGCUGUUUUUGCGUGCUUUUUUUGUGCGAUGGAUAAACCACAAAUAUACACAAACAUGCCAAAAGCAUACAAAACAAAAACAAAACCAAAAAUGAACAGUUUUAACGGUGGAUCUCUAGGCUCGC